AGUUUGAUCCUGGCUCAGGACGAACGCUGGCGGCGUGCUUAACACAUGCAAGUCGAACGGAAAGGCCCUGCUUUUGUGGGGUGCUCGAGUGGCGAACGGGUGAGUAACACGUGAGUAACCUGCCCUUGACUUUGGGAUAACUUCAGGAAACUGGGGCUAAUACCGGAUAGGAGCUCCUGCUGCAUGGUGGGGGUUGGAAAGUUUCGGCGGUUGGGGAUGGACUCGCGGCUUAUCAGCUUGUUGGUGGGGUAGUGGCUUACCAAGGCUUUGACGGGUAGCCGGCCUGAGAGGGUGACCGGCCACAUUGGGACUGAGAUACGGCCCAGACUCCUACGGGAGGCAGCAGUGGGGAAUAUUGCACAAUGGGCGGAAGCCUGAUGCAGCAACGCCGCGUGCGGGAUGACGGCCUUCGGGUUGUAAACCGCUUUCGCCUGUGACGAAGCGUGAGUGACGGUAAUGGGUAAAGAAGCACCGGCUAACUACGUGCCAGCAGCCGCGGUGAUACGUAGGGUGCGAGCGUUGUCCGGAUUUAUUGGGCGUAAAGGGCUCGUAGGUGGUUGAUCGCGUCGGAAGUGUAAUCUUGGGGCUUAACCCUGAGCGUGCUUUCGAUACGGGUUGACUUGAGGAAGGUAGGGGAGAAUGGAAUUCCUGGUGGAGCGGUGGAAUGCGCAGAUAUCAGGAGGAACACCAGUGGCGAAGGCGGUUCUCUGGGCCUUUCCUGACGCUGAGGAGCGAAAGCGUGGGGAGCGAACAGGCU
rnacentral:rRNA from 1 species